UCCCCAGUGGCGCAAUUGGUUAGCGCGCGGUACUUGGUAUGCUGAGGUUGUGAGUUCGAUCUCACCUGGGGAG
rnacentral:tRNA from 1 species